CCUUCCGUAGGUGAACCUGCGGAAGGAUCAUUACCGAGUGCGGGUUCCAACGAGCCCAACCUCCCACCCGUGUUUACCAUGACCGCGUUGCCUCGGCGGGCCCACUGGGGCCUGGCCCCGGUCGCCGGGGGGCUUCUGCCCCCGGGUCCGCGCCCGCCGAAGCGCCCUGGAACCCUGUCUGAAUAGUGAGUCUGAGUCUAUGAUUAAAUCAUUAAAACUUUCAACAACGGAUCUCUUGGUUCCGGCAUCGAUGAAGAACGCAGCGAAAUGCGAUAAGUAAUGUGAAUUGCAGAAUUCCGUGAAUCAUCGAAUCUUUGAACGCACAUUGCGCCCCCUGGCAUUCCGGGGGGCAUGCCUGUCCGAGCGUCAUUUCUGCCCUCCAGCCCGGCUGGGUGUUGGGUGUUGUCCCCCCGGGGACACGCCCCAAAGGCAGUGGCGGCGCCGCGUCGGGUCCUCGAGCGUAUGGGGCUUUGUCACCCGCUCGGGACGGACUCGUCGGCGCUGGUCUUCCUCCAGGCGACCCUUCGGGGCCCGUCUACCUUCGGUGACCUCGAUCUUUCCGAG
rnacentral:rRNA from 1 species